UACGUAGGGUGCAAGCGUUGUCCGGAAUUACUGGGCGUAAAGCGUGCGCAGGCGGUUUCGUAAGUCUGUCGUGAAAUCCCCGGGCUUAACCUGGGAAUGGCGAUGGAGACUGCGAGGCUAGAGUUUGGCAGAGGGGGGUAGAAUUCCACGUGUAGCAGUGAAAUGCGUAGGGAUGUGGAGGAACACCGAUGGCGAAGGCAGCCCCCUGGGUCAAAACUGACGCUCAUGCACGAAAGCGUGGGGAGCAAACAGG
rnacentral:rRNA from 1 species